rnacentral:tRNA from 1 species
GAAGUAAUAAGCUAAAUUAAGCUGUUGGGUUCAUACCUCAUUUAAUAAGACUGAGUCUUUUACUUUU